rnacentral:sRNA from 1 species
GUGCGCGGCGACGGCGACAGGCAGUGGCAGUCAUGGCGGCUCAGUGCGUGAGGCUGGCGCGGCGCAGUCUUCCUGCUUUGGCGUUGUCUCUCAGACCAUCUCCCCGGUUGUUGUGCACAGCCACGAAACAAAAGAACAGUGGCCAGAACCUGGAAGAGGACAUGGGUCAGAGUGAACAGAAGGCAGAUCCUCCUGCUACAGAGAAGACCCUCCUGGAAGAGAAGGUCAAGUUGGAGGAGCAGCUGAAGGAGACUGUGGAAAAAUAUAAACGAGCUUUGGCAGACACUGAGAACUUACGGCAGAGGAGCCAGAAAUUGGUGGAGGAGGCAAAAUUAUACGGUACUUUCAACAUAACAUGGUGUUGAUUCCGGAAAGAAGAUAAUGGGGUGGGGAAGGGGAAGGCCAUGCAUACGGAAGUGUCAGAGAGCAAGGCUGUGGGGUGGGGGGUCCAGCUGUUGCAUCCCCUGCAUUUUUUUUUUUAUGAUGGCUCAACAGCAAAGGUGUCUGGAGGAGCAGAAAUCAAGUAGCUGAGACUAGCAUGAAGAAUUGUAAAUAGGUGUGUGCUCCCCCACGCAGAGACCUUGGUGGGAACCUGCAGCAGGUCAGCCUCUGAUGCCCAUCCCCUUAGCCCUCCGGAAGUAACACUGGCAUCACUUCAGAACUCCCAGCAUGCUAUAUGCAUUGCCACCUUUGGAUGUUUUUGUUACUGUCCUUCCCAUUUUACAGUUGAGAUCAUUGAGGUUUAGUCACCUGCCGCACAUCACAAAGCUGGUACGUAACCCCAGGCUCCCAGCUCCACAGGCUGGUGUUUGAGUGCUGGCCCUGGAUCUCUGCGUGACUGACAGUGGGUAUUAGAGAUGUGGAACCUAAGGCUCGAGGGAGGGUAAAUGGCCUGGCCUGGGUCAGACGGUGAGAGGCCACAUGGAAACUAAGAGCCAGAGUCUCUAUCGCAUUCACAGAGACUGAGGCGCUCAUUGAAACACUUUUAUUCCUGGAUACUGUGGCCUGUUUCUUGGUAUUCCGCCUCUUUUUGUGGUAAUGUGCUUUGUUGGUUCUUACCCUUUCCGACCUGUAAAUGCCUGGGCUCUUGGGACUCAGUACCAGACCUCUUCUCUCCCCUUGCUGUGCUCCCUGGGUGACUUACACACUCUUACGGGCUUAAUGGCAUCCACACACAAGUCUCGGCUUCAAACUCGGAUCUUCCGAGUUCCAGUCCUCUAUAUCUUACUGCUUGCUUGACAUCUGGGCUUGGAUGUCUCAAGGGUAUUUUCCCCUCUACUGCACUCCUUUCUUCACAUUUUAGUGAAUUCUAAAUUUAGUAAAUUCUGGGUCUCAUCCCACAAGUAGCUUUUGAGAGUUUUGUGUUGUUUUUUAAAGUUAUUGAGCCAUUGGAAUUCUGAGGCGAUUGAUUUGACAAGUUACUAAAUAGCCUCCACAUCAGGUCAGCAGUGCUCAGUUUGGAAUUGCCCUGUGCGGUUGGUAUGGAGUGCAAAUGAUCUUCUUUAACUUCAUCCAGGCAUUCAAGCCUUCUGCAAGGACUUGUUGGAGGUGGCAGACGUUCUGGAGAAGGCAACACAGUGUGUUCCAAAAGAAGAAAUUAAAGACGAUAACCCUCACCUGAAGAACCUCUAUGAGGGGCUGGUCAUGACUGAAGUCCAGAUCCAGAAGGUGUUCACAAAGCAUGGCUUGCUCAAGUUGAACCCUGUCGGAGCCAAGUUCGACCCUUAUGAACAUGAGGCCUUGUUCCACACACCGGUUGAGGGGAAGGAGCCAGGCACAGUGGCCCUAGUUAGCAAAGUGGGGUACAAGCUGCAUGGGCGCACUCUGAGACCCGCCCUGGUGGGGGUGGUGAAGGAAGCUUAGCUGCUGUUGAUGGGGUGGGUGUUUUUAAACUCACUUGAUGUAACUCUUAAGGCUGGUUCAUUGUUUCUCAUCUAUGAGUACGUGUGACCUUUUCCCAAACCUUAUUGGAAACCUUAAGUAACCAGUGGCGAAACAGAAAAGCCGGUUGCCCAACUGCGUUAAUGAACUCUAAUUCGGGAGUCUGUUCCCUUUUAGUGCCACGUGUUGAAUAGUUCCACAUACUUUCAGAAGAGCUCAGCAGGGCCCUGCCUGGUCUCCCGAGCAUCAUGAGUAACGUGUCUGCUCAGACUCUGCUGACACCAAAGUAUUUUAAACAAAUAAAAGGUCUUGGGG